GUACUCCGCCUGCUCCUCUCCCUCUCUCUCUCUCUGCUUCUCACCCUUCUCCUCCCUCCUUCCUUCUCAUGGAGCCUCAGGCGGCCGAUUCUGGCGCCUCCCCUGCUGCAGCCCCCGUGCAGAAGGAGAGAGAGAGUAUCUUCGGCCAGGUGGAUCCGUUCCUCAUCGAAGCCCUCGAGAAUCCUCGCCACCGCCUUACCGGUUGGUUUUCUCAAUUCUUGUUCUAUGUUGCAAUUCUCAGAAUGGUUGGCGGAUUAAGUGCGUUAGGGUUUGUGCUUAUGGGGAUUUGAAGGUCCUAUUUGUGGUGGGUUCGGAAUUUGGGCUCGUACUUGGUUUAUUAAUUGGAUACGUUCCUUGACGGGAGGUGCAGGUGGCCGAUCGAACAAUUGUGAGUUGGAAAUUGGUACAUGUCAUGUCCGUUGAAGUGCGCUUGGUGUUGGGUUUGUGUUCCAUUGUGUUUAGUGUGUGAUACUUGUUGAUCGAUUCGUGUUUUGCCAGUCAAAUAUUGAAUUCUGAAUCUAAUAUGGCUAACAACAUGUGGGUUAAUACGUGAGUUGUGUUUU
rnacentral:lncRNA from 1 species